UGGAGAUUAACGGUGGAGCAGAUAUCCACUCUGCAGCCUGUGGAGGACCCCAUGCCGGAGCAGGUGGGUGUGUCUGAAGGAAGCCAAGCUGUGACCCCGUGGAGAGCCUGUGCUGGUGCAGGUUCCUGGCAGGAGCUGUGGACUCAUGAAGAGGA